ACACAUGCAAGUCGAGCGGAGCGAGGGUGCUUGCACCUUAGCUUAGCGGCGGACGGGUGAGUAAUGCUUAGGAAUCUGCCUAUUAGUGGGGGACAACAUUCCGAAAGGAAUGCUAAUACCGCAUACGCCCUACGGGGGAAAGCAGGGGAUCUUCGGACCUUGCGCUAAUAGAUGAGCCUAAGUCGGAUUAGCUAGUUGGUGGGGUAAAGGCCUACCAAGGCGACGAUCUGUAGCGGGUCUGAGAGGAUGAUCCGCCACACUGGGACUGAGACACGGCCCAGACUCCUACGGGAGGCAGCAGUGGGGAAUAUUGGACAAUGGGCGCAAGCCUGAUCCAGCCAUGCCGCGUGUGUGAAGAAGGCCUUUUGGUUGUAAAGCACUUUAAGCGAGGAGGAGGCUACUUAGAUUAAUACUCUAGGAUAGUGGACGUUACUCGCAGAAUAAGCACCGGCUAACUCUGUGCCAGCAGCCGCGGUAAUACAGAGGGUGCGAGCGUUAAUCGGAUUUACUGGGCGUAAAGCGUGCGUAGGCGGCUUUUUAAGUCGGAUGUGAAAUCCCUGAGCUUAACUUAGGAAUUGCAUUCGAUACUGGAAAGCUAGAGUAUGGGAGAGGAUGGUAGAAUUCCAGGUGUAGCGGUGAAAUGCGUAGAGAUCUGGAGGAAUACCGAUGGCGAAGGCAGCCAUCUGGCCUAAUACUGACGCUGAGGUACGAAAGCAUGGGGAGCAAACAGGAUUAGAUACCCUGGUAGUCCAUGCCGUAAACGAUGUCUACUAGCCGUUGGGGCCUUUGAGGCUUUAGUGGCGCAGCUAACGCGAUAAGUAGACCGC
rnacentral:rRNA from 1 species